CCUACGGGUGGCAGCAGUGAGGAAUAUUGGUCAAUGGACGAGAGUCUGAACCAGCCAAGUAGCGUGAAGGAUGACUGCCCUAUGGGUUGUAAACUUCUUUUAUAUGGGAAUAAAAUGUUCCACGUGUGGGAUUUUGUAUGUACCAUAUGAAUAAGGAACGGCUAACUCCGGGCCAGACGCCGCGGUAAUACGGAGGGUCCGGGCGUUAUCCGGGUUUAGUGGGGUUAGAGGGGGCGGAGGGGGGUUGUUAAGUCAGUUGUGAAAGUGUGCGGCUCAACCGUAAAAUUGCAGUUGAAACUGGUAGUGUGGAGUACAGUAGAGGUGGGCGGAAUUCGUGGUGUAGCGGUGAAAUGCGUAGAUAUCACGAAGAACUCCGAUUGCGAAGGCAGUUCACUGGACUACAACUGACACUGAGGCUCGAAAGUGUGGGUAUCAAACAGGAUUAGAUACCCUUGUAGUC
rnacentral:rRNA from 1 species